rnacentral:rRNA from 1 species
GAUGAGGUAGCAGUACUUAGUGGCAGACGGGUGAGUACAUGUAGGUAUCUGCCCUUUGGCCUGGAAUAACACGAGGAAACUUGUGCUAAUACUGGAUAAGUCUUUACGGAGAAAGCUUUAUGCACCAUUGGACGAGCCUGCACUUGAUUAGUUUGUUGGUAGGGUAAUGGCCUACCAAGACUGUGAUCAAUAGCUGAUUUGAGAGGAUGAUCAGCCACAUUGGGACUGAGACACGGCCCAAACUCCUACGGGAGGCAGCAGUGGGGAAUCUUGCACAAUGGAGGAAACUCUGAUGCAGCGAUGCCGCGUGAGUGAAGAAGGCCUUUGGGUUGUAAAACUCUUUCGUCGGGGAAGAAAAUGACUGUACCCGAAUAAGAAGGUCCGGCUAACUUCGUGCCAGCAGCCGCGGUAAUACGAAGGGACCUAGCGUAGUUCGGAAUUACUGGGCUUAAAGAGCUCGUAGGUGGUUAAAAAAGUUGAUGGUGAAAUCCCAAGGCUCAACCUUGGAACUGCCAUCAAAACUUUUUAGCUAGAGUGUGAUAGAGGUAAGUGGACUUUCUAGUGUAGAGGUGAAAUUCGUAGAUAUUAGAAAGAACACCAAUGCGAAGGCACUUACUGGGUCACUACUGACACUGAGGAGCGAAAGCUGGGUAGCGAAGAGGAUUAGAUACCUCGUAAUCAUGCGAAAAGAUGUGGCUGACGUGGAAUUAUUUCAGGUCGAGGAAAGAUAAGGCACGCUGG